rnacentral:tRNA from 1 species
GCACCUGUGGCUCAAAGGGGUAGGGCGCUGGCCCCCUGUGCCAGAGGUGGUGGAUUCAAACCCAGCCAGAGGCA